rnacentral:rRNA from 1 species
CCUACGGGAGGCAGCAGUGAGGAAUAUUGGUCAAUGGACGCGAGUCUGAACCAGCCAAGUAGCGUGAAGGAUGACUGCCCUAUGGGUUGUAAACUUCUUUUAUAUGGGAAUAAAACAGGGUAUGCAUACCCUCUUGUAUGUACCAUAUGAAUAAGGAUCGGCUAACUCCGUGCCAGCAGCCGCGGUAAUACGGAGGAUCCGAGCGUUAUCCGGAUUUAUUGGAUUUAAAGGGAGCGUAGGUGGAUUGUUAAGUCAGUUGUGAAAGUUUGCGGCUCAACCGUAAAAUUGCAGUUGAUACUGGCAGGCUUGAGUACAGUAGAGGUGGGCGGAAUUCGUGGUGUAGCGGUGAAAUGCUUAGAUAUCACGAAGAACUCCGAUUGCGAAGGCAGCUCACUGGACUGCAACUGACACUGAUGCUCGAAAGUGUGGGUAUCAAACAGGAUUAGAUACCCCAGUAGUC